rnacentral:lncRNA from 10 species
AUGCUUCAAUAACAAGUCAGUGAAUAUUUGGGUGUGACCUCCUUUAAAAGGAAAUAUCCAGAUUUAGAGCGAGAUUUGUCUCACAAGGAGAAACUCUACCUGAGAGAGCUAAAGUCAUUACUGAAACUCAGUGCAUGCUAGGUAUAACAGCAUUGCGCAGUGAUGAAGUGAUUGAUUUAAUGAUAAAAGAAUAUCCAGCCAAACAUGCUGAGUAUUCUGUUAUUCUACAAGAAAAUGAAUGUCAGCGAAUUACAGACCAUUAUAAAGAGUAUUCCCAAAUGCAACAACAGAAUACUCAGAAAGUUGAAGCCAGUAAAGUGCCUGAGGAUAUUAAGAAAGCUGCCAAAAAAGCAGCUGAAUUUAACAGCAACGUAAACUGGGAACGCAUGGAAGAAGAGCUUAUUUUGACUUGCAGACACAUGUUAUCCAGGUGCCUCAAGGGAAUUACAAAGUUUUGCCAACAGAGCAAACAAUGAUUAGUUCUUACCCAGUGGGUCUCAUCCCCUGACAGUUCGACAGUUUGAGGAAUAUUAUAAAAGGUACUCACCAGAUGAGCUCUGGUACCUGCCAUUAAACACAGCCCUGUAUGAGCCCCCCUCUGGAUCCUGAGCUCCCUGCUGUAGACAGUGAUUCAAAUGAUGGCGAAGAUGGUCGAGGUGACGAAAAACGGAAAAAUAAAGGCACUUUGGAUAGCUCCUCUGGCAAUGAAUGUAUCUGAAGGGGAAAGCCCUCCUGACAGCCAGGAGGACUCUUUCCAGGGAAGACAAAUCAAAAGACAAG